UGUAGAAGCAAGGAUACAGAUAUAUACAAUAAAAUAGUUGAGCAGGACAUAUUACAUUUUAGAAAAUUAAAUGAUAAAGAAAAUGCAAAGUCUAUAGAGUGUAUUUUCAGUUAAAGGGUUAUUGAUCAAUUUAAGGAGGAUAUGGUCAGAGGUGAUUUAUUAUUAAGUCUUUUAGCAGUUGGCAGGAAUGUUCUCCCGUGUCUGUCCUUUGGUAUUCCUUUCCUCUCACCCUCUCUUUAGCUGUGGAACGUCCUGAAGCAGCUCCGGCCCCAGUCCCCCAGAAACCAGAAGAGUCCACCAGGAGAAGCAGGGAAGAGGAGGAGCCCGACUGCCCGGCAGGACUGAUAAAGUGCCAACCAGCCUUCCCUCGCGCCUGGCGGGGGAAGGCUGGUUAGCAUGGUUAUACUGACUAACAUUAAGAAAAGUCUCCAAGUUUUUUAUUUAGGUAUCGAUUGCUGUGAUACAAGAAGAAACUUCCAGGAUCUCCUUGACGACGACGAAGAAGAUGACGAGGGAGGACCACAUGAGAAGGAUGAAGGACUACAGGACCAGAUGCAGAGCGGCGGUUGCCUUUCUUUUAGUGGGCGGAGGCAGGACUCCUCUGUCUCUCUCCCAGCUGGAGGUGGAUGUCAACCAACCCGUCACCUUCAGCAGACCACAAGUCAAUCAGGACCCCCCCCCCCCCCCCGCCCGUCCACCCAAACCCCCGACACCGCCCGCCCCGCCCACACAGGAAGCAGCUGUGAAGAAGAUGGACGCUUCAGCCUGAACAAGACAUCAUAAUUCUUUCAUUUGUCACAUGGAAUCCUGUAUGUUCAUGUAAACUGUGUACAGUAUGUAGAUUGUUAUCUCCUGAUUUUAAUGAAUACAUUUACCACAACAUCAAAA